rnacentral:rRNA from 1 species
CGCAUCUGUGCAUGCAGCAUAUCAAUAAGCGGAGGAAAAGAAACUAACAAGGAUUCCCCUAGUAACGGCGAGUGAAGCGGGAAGAGCUCAAAUUUGAAAUCUUAAAGGGUCUCCCUUUACGAAUUGUAGUUUAAAGAAGUGUUUUCUGUUGAGGUUUUGGUAAAAGUUCUUUGGAAUAGGACAUCAUAGAGGGUGAGAAUCCCGUAUUUGACCUUUACUUUCAACUUUGUGAUACACUUUCAAAGAGUCGGAUUGUUUGGGAAUGCAGUCCAAAAUGGGUGGUAAAUUUCAUCUAAAGCUAAAUAUUGGCGAGAGACCGAUAGCGAACAAGUACCGUGAGGGAAAGAUGAAAAGAACUUUGAAAAGAGAGUUAAACAGUACGUGAAAUUGUCAAAAGGGAAGCGUUUGACACCAGUGUUGUUUUUCUGAAAAUCAAUUAAAGAACUGUUUAUGCUAAGCUUGUUUAGACUUUAUCAGCUAACUGUUUAGUUUUGAGCUUUUCUUUAAUGCACUUUUCAGUUAACAAGUCAACAUCAAUUUCUUUUGCUGUAAAAAAGCUUGAGGAAGGUGGCUUGAGAUUCGUCUUAAGUGUUUAUAGCCUCUUGCCUAUGCAGUCGGAGAGAUUGAGGUCUGCAGCGUAGAUCCUUCGGGGCUAAAUGCAUUUGUGCUAAGUUAUAGCAUUUUAUAGACAACUUGUUGACUAUGAUUUGUCUUGUAGCUUACUCGCUUAUGUUAUUUUACCUACGCUUAGGAUGUUGAACGCGCACAGAGUCUC